AUAACGACUCUCGGCAACGGAUAUCUCGGCUCUCGCAUCGAUGAAGAACGUAGCGAAAUGCGAUACUUGGUGUGAAUUGCAGAAUCCCGUGAACCAUCGAGUCUUUGAACGCAAGUUGCGCCCCAAGCUCUAAGCCGAGGGCACGUCUGCCUGGGUGUCACG
rnacentral:rRNA from 1 species